CUGAGAGGUCGGGGUGUGCCCGAAAGGGAGCCAUAACACAGGUGCUGCAUGGCUGUCGUCAGCUCGUGGUAUCGUGAGAUGUUGGGUUAAGUCCCGCAACGAGCGCAUACCCUUGUCCCUAGUUGCUAUGAUGACUUGACGAGCACUCUAGGGAGACUCCGGUGACAAACCGGAGGAAGGUGGGGAUGACCGUCAAGUCCUCAUGGCCCUUAUGGGUAGGGCUCACACGUCAUACAAUGGUCGGAACAGAGGGUCGCCACGCGAGGGGGAGCCAAUCCCAGAAAACCGAUCGUAGUCCGGUCGCACUCUCAACUCGAGUGCGUGAAGCUGAAUCAGCUAGUAAUCGCGGAUCAGCUAUGCCGCGGUGAAUACGUUCCCGGGUCU
rnacentral:rRNA from 1 species